rnacentral:lncRNA from 1 species
AAACAACAUUUCUACACACACAGAAAACAGUUAUCACAACAAAAUUCCUUACUUUAUGGAGUCACAAAUAACAAAGCGGCAGCUGGAGGACCAGCUCCCCUGGAGUCCGUGGGUUGCUGGAGAGGUGGAAAGAAGAUCUCUUAGGACCCCUACACCUACAAGAGCCUUUGAGACAAAGAUGCAACAAAGAGGCAAAGAAUAACGCAGACAGGAAAGUGAGAGAUGGCUGCUGGUUGGAUCACGGCUGGGAACGCAUGGAUGCGAAUCCAGGCUUGGCUUUAAGAGAGGGAGAGAAUGUGGAUAGAUAACACUUGAUUGAACGAGUAAGAUGUAAGUAGCAAAGGAGACAACCAGAGACACCAAGAGGCGAUCUGUAAGGCUUAGACGAGAGCCAUGUCAUUCAGAGUUCCAAGUCCAGAGCUCACAGGACAACUGGAGGGAAUUGCUGCCUCCAGUAGACACAGACCUCCCUCCUAACUCCACGCAGCAGCCCCCUCUGCCACCUGUCCCCAGAGCCCAGGCCUAUGGUUGGACCGGAUUCGUCACCUGGCUCUACAGGAUACACACACAAAUGGCAGUAAAUGGACCACAUGAAUGGACUGCAGCGAAGAGACCUGAGACAAUUCAUGCCAGUGCAGACUGAGAUGUGCAAGGCAGAAGCAAUUUAGAGAGACUGAAAGAGAAAGGAAGGCCCAGUUAAAAUCCAAAUGGAGAGAAGCACAAUGUAAAAGCAAAUUGGAAAAAGCUGAAGCAACAGAGGGACCCUCAGGAAGAUGGUGAGUGUGAGAAAAAAGCACAGGAGAAAUGUCCUCUGCAACCCAAACCCGCCUCAUCAAAUAGCUCUGGACCCAGUUUUUAUCUUUACAAGUGAUAGCUGGCUGCUGCCAACUGUUUGCAUAGUGUGUACAUUGAAAUAUUUUAUUGUUUUAUGGAUGCAAUAAAAUAAAUGUGAUUAAAGGCAGAAAUCACACUUGAGUUCUGGUGAAGGAGACUGGAAUGCUGGAACCAGGGCUUUAAAAAGCAAAGCAAGGUCUUUUAGUCAGAGAAGAGGAAUCUGUUUCCUGUUCUU